rnacentral:rRNA from 1 species
GAUGAACGCUGGCGGCGUGCCUAAUACAUGCAAGUCGAGCGAACAGACGAGGAGCUUGCUCCUCUGACGUUAGCGGCGGACGGGUGAGUAACACGUAGAUAACCUACCUAUAAGACUGGGAUAACUUCGGGAAACCGGAGCUAAUACCGGAUAAUAUAUUGAACCGCAUGGUUCAAUAGUGAAAGACGGUUUUGCUGUCACUUAUAGAUGGAUCCGCGCCGCAUUAGCUAGUUGGUAAGGUAACGGCUUACCAAGGCAACGAUGCGUAGCCGACCUGAGAGGGUGAUCGGCCACACUGGAACUGAGACACGGUCCAGACUCCUACGGGAGGCAGCAGUAGGGAAUCUUCCGCAAUGGGCGAAAGCCUGACGGAGCAACGCCGCGUGAGUGAUGAAGGUCUUCGGAUCGUAAAACUCUGUUAUUAGGGAAGAACAAAUGUGUAAGUAACUAUGCACGUCUUGACGGUACCUAAGCAGAAAGCCACGGCUAACUACGU